ensembl:lncRNA
UGUUUUGCCUUCAGAGCGUAUCCUCGGGCAGGAGACAACACUGCUACAAACUGGCUCAGGGGUCAAGGGACAGGAGUACAGACACAACAUUUACUUUACAUCAAAAAUACUAAAUCUAUGAAGUGAGUUGCUCAGCAAUGAAAGCAGUGCAAAGACGUUUGCUGUGAUGGUGUUGAAGAUGCAAAAGAAUGCUGUGAGCCAGGGGUUGGAAGAAAGCCAGAGCGAGUGCAUGGACCAACUGUUGUACCUUGGAAGGCCCAAGUGGAUCCAGCUGAUUACCCUCUCCCACCACAGAAAACUUACAGGGGAGCUUCUGUUUUCUCCCAACCUGUAUCCCCCUUUUACAGGCGACAUCAUCAGAAAAUCAGAAACAUAUUUGCGCAUGUUGGCGACAGAAGUGGCACAUCACCCCGGCUGUCAAACCAGGUACCAAGCAUUCAAACAUUCAAUUCAAACCGUUUUUCUACAACAUUUUUCGGGUUGUUUCACUUUCGGUUGUCAGAUUCUAAAUUCCAAAAGAAGCCUACAGAAUCCGGAUGAGGUCUCGACUGCUCCAGGGUAGCAGCAGGUGUUUCAAUUAAUCCGGUGACCCAGUCAAAUGGAGACUCUCCGCCGAUUGCGGCCAUAGUCACUCGUAGUGACUGGUGUAAAUGGUUGGCUGAGAUUACAAACACAGGUGCGGGUGUGAUAAAAAAUUGAGAGCUCUCAGAGCGUGGAAGUACCAAGCAGAAUCCCCGGUGCUGCUACCGGACUGCUGCAGAGAUCCAAGGAGGUGAACAACAUUCUGUGGAAAGACGGCAACGUGUAUUUUCUGCUUCCACCCCAUAACGAUAUACUGUAUAUGCUGACCUCCGCUUUUCACCAGAGGUGUGAGGAGUUCUACAACGCCUGGAUCGGCAACGUAGUUGCUAGACAGUAUUACAGCCUCUGGAUACUUCUUCCACCACUGGUUUUGACAUCUUGUAAGACGGGCGACUCAACCUUUCCAGUUAGCUGAUUGGGGACCAGCUGGCUGUACAGUUCUCAGACCUCCAGCAGCUGUUUGUGCCUAAAGAAGAGUGGCAGGACGACCCAGAGCCCCCCUAUAUUAAAGAGUAUACAGGUCCAGAUGGACCUUCAGUACCAGAACUGAUGCGAUGAUUUGAAUGAGACCAGAGAUCCUCAAU